UACAGAGGGUGCAAGCGUUAAUCGGAAUUACUGGGCGUAAAGCGCGCGUAGGUGGUUUUGUUAAGUUGGAUGUGAAAAUCCCCCGGGCUCAAACCCUGGGGAACUGCAUUUCAAAAACUGACAAGCUAGAGUAUGGUAGAGGGGUGGGUGGAAAUUUUCCUGUGUAGCGGGUGAAAAUGCGUAGAUAUAGGAAAGGAACACCAGUGGCGAAGGCGACCACCUGGACUGAUACUGACACUGAGGUGCGAAAGCGUGGGGGAGCAAACAGG
rnacentral:rRNA from 1 species